rnacentral:rRNA from 1 species
CCUACGGGAGGCAGCAGUGAGGAAUAUUGCACAAUGGGGGAAACCCUGAUGCAGCGACGCCGCGUGAGCGAUGAAGUAUUUCGGUAUGUAAAGCUCUAUCAGCAGGGAAGAAAAUGACGGUACCUGACGAAGAAGCACCGGCUAACUACGUGCCAGCAGCCGCGGUAAUACGUAGGGGGCAAGCGUUAUCCGGAUUUACUGGGUGUAAAGGGAGCGUAGACGGUCGUGCAAGCCAGAUGUGAAAGCCCGGGGCUCAACCCCGGGACUGCAUUUGAAACUGUAAGGCUAGAGUGUGGGAGAGGCAGGCGGAAUUCGUAGUGUAGCGGUGAAAUGCGUAGAUAUUAGGAGGAACACCAGUGGCGAAGGCGGCCUGCUGGACGAUGACUGACGUUGAGGCUCGAAAGCGUGGGGAGCAAACAGGAUUAGAUACCCUUGUAGUC